rnacentral:rRNA from 1 species
GAUGAACGCUGGCGGCGUGCCUAAUACAUGCAAGUCGAGCGAACGGACGAGAAGCUUGCUUCUCUGAUGUUAGCGGCGGACGGGUGAGUAACACGUGGAUAACCUACCUAUAAGACUGGGAUAACUUCGGGAAACCGGAGCUAAUACCGGAUGAUAUUUUGAACCGCAUGGUUCAAAAGUGAAAGACGGUCUUGCUGUCACUUAUAGAUGGAUCCGCGCUGCAUUAGCUAGUUGGUAAGGUAACGGCUUACCAAGGCAACGAUGCAUAGACGACCUGAGAGGGUGAUAGGCCACCCUGGAACUGAGACACGGUCCAGACUCCUAAGGGAGGCCGCAGUAGGGAAUCUUCCGCAACGGGCGAAAGCAUGACGGAGCAACGCCGCGUGAGCGAUGAAGGUCCUCGGAUCGUAAAACUCUGUUACUAGGGAAGAACAUAUGUGUAAGUAACUGUGCACAGAUUGACGGUAACUAAUCAGAAAGCAACGGCUAACUACGUG